UACGGAGGGUGCAAGCGUUGUCCGGAUUUAUUGGGUUUAAAGGGUGCGUAGGCGGCUAAUUAAGUCAGCGGUGAAAUUCCACAGCUCAACUGUGGAACUGCCAUUGAUACUGGUUGGCUUGAGUACAGAUGAGGUAGGCGGAAUUGACAGUGUAGCGGUGAAAUGCGUAGAGAUUGGGAAGAACAUCGGUGGCGAAGGCGCUCUGCUGGACCAUAACUGACACUCACAGGACGAAAGCUAGGGGAGCGAAUGGG
rnacentral:rRNA from 1 species